rnacentral:rRNA from 1 species
UACGUAGGCAGCGAGCGUUGUUCGGAGUUACUGGGCGUAAAGGGUGCGUAGGCGGUUUCGUAAGGGUGGCGUGAAAGCGUCCGGCUCAACCGGAUAGACGCGCCGCCGACUGCGGGGCUUCGAGUGUGGGAGAGGACGGCGGAAUUCCCGGUGUAGCGGUGAAAUGCGUAGAGAUCGGGAGGAACACCUGCGGCGCAGGCGGCUGUCUGGACCACGACUGACGCUGAGGCACGAAAGCGUGGGGAGCAAACAGG